rnacentral:rRNA from 1 species
GACGAACGCUGGCGGCGUGCUUAACACAUGCAAGUCGAACGGUAAGGCCCUUCGGGGUACACGAGUGGCGAACGGGUGAGUAACACGUGGGUGAUCUGCCCUGCACUUCGGGAUAAGCCUGGGAAACUGGGUCUAAUACCGGAUAGGACCACUGCCUGCAUGGGUGGUGGUGUAAAGCUUUUGCGGGGUGGGAUGGGCCCGCGGCCUAUCAGCUUGUUGGUGGGGGGAUGGCCUACCAAGGCGACGACGGGUAGCCGGCCUGAGAGGGUGGCCGGCCAGACGGGGACUGAGAUACGGCCCAGACUCCUACGGGAGGCAGCAGUGGGGAAUAUUGCACAGUGGGCGCAAGCCUGAUGCAGCGACGCCGCGUGAGGGAUGACGGCCUUCGGGUUGUAAACCUCUUUCAGCACCGACGAAGCGCAAGUGACGGUAGGUGCAGAAGAAGGACCGGCCAACUACGUGCCAGCCGCCGCGGUAA